CCGAGUUUACAACUCCCAAACCCAAUGUGAACGUUACCAAACUGUUGCCUCGGCGGGGUCACGCCCCGGGUGCGUCGCAGCCCCGGAACCAGGCGCCCGCCGGAGGAACCAACCAAACUCUUUCUGUAGUCCCCUCGCGGACGUAUUUCUUUACAGCUCUGAGCAAAAAUUCAAAAUGAAUCAAAACUUUCAACAACGGAUCUCUUGGUUCUGGCAUCGAUGAAGAACGCAGCGAAAUGCGAUAAGUAAUGUGAAUUGCAGAAUUCAGUGAAUCAUCGAAUCUUUGAACGCACAUUGCGCCCGCCAGUAUUCUGGCGGGCAUGCCUGUCCGAGCGUCAUUUCAACCCUCGAACCCCUCCGGGGGAUCGGCGUUGGGGAUCGGGACCCCUCACACGGGUGCCGGCCCCUAAAUACAGUGGCGGUCUCGCCGCAGCCUCUCCUGCGCAGUAGUUUGCACAACUCGCACCGGGAGCGCGGCGCGUCCACGUCCGUAAAACACCCAACUUUCUGAAAUGUUGACCUCGGAUCAGGUAGGAAUACCCGCUGAACUUAAGCAUAUAA
rnacentral:rRNA from 1 species